rnacentral:rRNA from 1 species
GACGAACGCUGGCGGCGUGCUUAACACGUGCAAGUCGAACGGAAAGGCCCUGCUUUUGUGGGGUGCUCGAGUGGCGAACGGGUGAGUAACACGUGAGUAACCUGCCCUUGACUUUGGGAUAACUUCAGGAAACUGGGGCUAAUACCGGAUCGGAGCUCCUGCUGCAUGGUGGGGGUUGGAAAGUUUCGGCGGUUGGGGAUGGACUCGCGGCUUAUCAGCUUGUUGGUGGGGUAGUGGCUUACCAAGGCUUUGACGGGUAGCCGGCCUGAGAGGGUGACCGGCCACAUUGGGACUGAGAUACGGCCCAGACUCCUACGGGAGGCAGCAGUGGGGAAUAUUGCACAAUGGGCGGAAGCCUGAUGCAGCAACGCCGCGUGCGGGAUGACGGCCUUCGGGUUGUAAACCGCUUUCGCCUGUGACGAAGCGUGAGUGACGGUAAUGGGUAAAGAAGCACCGGCUAACUACGUG